rnacentral:rRNA from 1 species
UACGGGGGGAGCAAGCGUUGUUCGGAUUUACUGGGCGUAAAGGGCGCGUAGGCGGCCAGCACAAGUCGGUUGUGAAAUCUCCGAGCUUAACUCGGAAAGGUCAACUGAUACUGUGCGGCUAGAGUGCAGAAGGGGCAACUGGAAUUCUUGGUGUAGCGGUGAAAUGCGUAGAUAUCAAGAGGAACACCUGCGGCGAAGGCGGGUUGCUGGGCUGACACUGACGCUGAGGCGCGAAAGCUAGGGGAGCGAACGGG